CGGACGGGUGAGUAAUGUCUGGGAAAGUGCCCGAUGGAGGGGGAUAACUACUGGAAACGGUAGCUAAUACCGCAUAACGUCGCAAGACCAAAGAGGGGGACCUUCGGGCCUCUUGCCAUCGGAUGUGCCCAGAUGGGAUUAGCUAGUAGGUGGGGUAACGGCUCACCUAGGCGACGAUCCCUAGCUGGUCUGAGAGGAUGACCAGCCACACUGGAACUGAGACACGGUCCAG
rnacentral:rRNA from 1 species